AUCCAGCUGAUGAGUUCCAAACAGGACGAAGCGGGCCACCUAGAU
rnacentral:hammerhead_ribozyme from 1 species